rnacentral:rRNA from 1 species
UGGGGAAUAUUGCACAAUGGGCGAAAGCCUGAUGCAGCAACGCCGCGUGCGGGAUGACGGCCUUCGGGUUGUAAACCGCUUUCAGCAGGGACGAAGGUUUUCUGACGGUACCUGCAGAAGAAGCACCGGCUAACUACGUGCCAGCAGCCGCGGUGAUACGUAGGGUGCGAGCGUUGUCCGGAAUUAUUGGGCGUAAAGAGCUUGUAGGCGGUCCGUUGCGUCGGAAGUGAAAACUCAGGGCUUAACCCUGAGCCUGCUUUCGAUACGGGCGGACUUGAGGGAUGUAGGGGAGAACGGAAUUCCUGGUGGAGCGGUGGAAUGCGCAGAUAUCAGGAGGAACACCAGUGGCGAAGGCGGUUCUCUGGACAUUUCCUGACGCUGAGAAGCGAAAGCGUGGGGAGCAAACAGGCUUAGAUACCCUGGUAGUCCACGCCGUAAACGGUGGGCACUAGGUGUGGGACCCAUUCCACGGGUUCCGUGCCGUAGCUAACGCAUUAAGUGCCCCGCCUGGGGAGUACGGCCGCAAGGCUAAAACUCAAAUGAAUUGACGGGGUCAUAGCUGUUU